rnacentral:rRNA from 1 species
GACGAAUGCUGGCGGCGUGCCUAAUACAUGCAAGUAGAACGCAGUUGCGCACGGGUGAGUAAAACGUAGGUGACUUCCUCAUAGCGGGGGAUAACUAUUUGAAACGGUAGCUAAUUCCGCCUACUGUUAGAUGGACCUGCGUUGUAUUAGGUUGUUGGUUAGGUAAAGGCUCACCAAGGCGACGAUACAUAGCCGAUCUUAGAGGGUUAGCGGGCCAACCUGGACUUAGAAACGGCCCAGACUCCUACGGGAGGCAGCAGUAGGGAAUCGUCGGCAAUGGACGGAAGUCUGACCGAGCAACGGCGCGGGAGUGAAGAAGGGUCUCGGAGCGGAAAGCUCUGUUGUGAGAGAAGCGGUACCUAACCAGAAAGGGACGGCUAACUCCGUGCCAGCAGCCGCGGUAAUUC